GAUGAAGAACGCAGCGAAAUGCGAUAAGUAGUGUGAAUUGCAGAAUUCAGUGAAUCAUCGAAUCUUUGAACGCACAUUGCGCCCUUUGGUAUUCCAAAGGGCAUGCCUGUUCGAGCGUCAGUUGUACCCUCAAGCUUUGCUUGGUGUUGGGCGUCUUGUCUCUAGCUUUGCUGGAGACUCGCCUUAAAGUAAUUGGCAGCCGGCCUACUGGUUUCGGAGCGCAGCACAAGUCGCACUCUCUAUCAGCAAAGGUCUAGCAUCCAUUAAGCCUUUUUUUCAACUUUUGACCUCGGAUCAGGUAGGGAUACCCGCUGAACUUAAGCAUAUCAAUAAGCGGAGGA
rnacentral:misc_RNA from 1 species